CUAACACCCAGGAUAGUUCUUCCGCUUCAACCGAGAGAUACCCAAGAAAAGGUGUUCAACCUUGAAUUUUGUAUAGACUUCUUCAAGUAGUCAUCAUAAUUACUUCUUGGUUUCUAGGAGGGAUUGCAGCGAGUGAAGGAAGGGAGAAAGGAAGACGUACUCAAACAAAUCAAAAUUUCAAUGAUGAAUUGGAACAUGUAGGAGAAACAUAAAGGAGAGCUUUCUAAUUCGUAUCCGGCAUGUGUUUCCUGGCUUGGUAAUUGGUUCAUCAUUCGCAAGGGUAACGAGAAGCUUGGACUGUUCAUUCCAAAGAGAAUGUAUUGAGCAUAAGAAAAGAGAAGAACAGAAAGACAUGCUGCUCAAAUGGCUGCAGCUACUUACAUGACAUAGUGAAAAUAUAGAUUGUCCGUGCAGGUUUAGAUGAUAGUGUUAAGUGUAGCAACUAAACAAUAAACGGUUUCUAGCUUAUGUUACAAAUAAUUUAUGUCCUCAUUAAUAACCAUUCAUCUAUUAAGGAAAAACAGAACAAUAUAUCCAUAUUUUUCAAUCAACAAACGC